rnacentral:misc_RNA from 1 species
GCCUUUCUGAGCCUGUUUGUCACACCAGAAAAUUCUUAAACAAUGUGCAGAACAAGUCUUAUACCAUUACUUCCAAGUUUAAACCAUGUAACCCAAGAGACAAAUAUUUAUAUAAAAUACAUAUAUAUAUAUAGUAGUAUGAACACAUUUAAGUUAUUGAAAAUUCAUAAUAUCUGUGGGAAAUAAAGAAAGAAACUUUCUUUAAUGGUGACAACCAAACAGCUACCAACUAAUCUUUACUCCCUAUACUCUACAAUUUGUGGACCUAAGUACUCUAUCCAAUCCAUCUCUGAAUUCUCUGGCGUCUCAAUCUCUUCCAGCCAUCCAACACAGCCCCCCUCUUCUGUCAACUCCUUUUCUCCAUCUGAAAAGGCAUCAUAAGGAAAAUCUUUGUAGUAUGAACAGUCCCUCCCAUCUUCUUUAGCAUAGGGAGGUCCGAGCACAUCAAGAACUGCGCAUGGUGUACUGGCAGUGAAUUGAUGGAUAUUGCCUCCUGUAGUCGGAUAUAAUACAGACGUGUUGCACGGAGCUGUAAAGACACUGUCCAUUACCAGUCUUGCCAAUCUCACAUGAGAAGGCUGUACAGGCUCCUCUGCACUGGGAGGGCUGACCCAAUCAUAUGAUUUGAUGUGCAUUGUCCCCAGUAGAAGCUUGCUAAAAACAGUCAUCCCUGGAUGGUUAUGGAGGGGGAUGACAGCAGUUGCAGGAAGAAAGAAAAGGCACAACGAAAAUUCAUCGCACUUGUAUAUGGUUGUGGUAGUGACCCUUUGAGUCCCAUUCACAGCAUUUUUAGUCUUAAAAAACGGCAGCUCGCUACUUAGCCCAACAUCUUCUGGCUUCAUAUUGUCAAGUAUAUGGCAUAAUCUCUCCACAUCAUCAGGCAAGGGAACAGUUCCAGGGCCUUUAAACACUUCUCUGCAUGACAUAUACAGCUCCUGCAAUGCCAUGGGAACUUUUGCUUCAGACCGCUUAUUAAUUCUUCUUUUACACCUUUUCUUCUUCAUAAGCCGGUUGGCAUAUCCAACCUUAUGUACGUGCUGGCCAACUGGCACUGGGUCUCUUCUUGGAUUAACCACAGCUUCAAUUGUCAUCGAUAUAACACCGAAAUAUACCUGUGGAUCUUUCACCGAAAAAAUAAAAUAAAAUAAUCUGUGUGUUUGAAGAUGAACUUCUUGCAGACCAAAAAAAAAAAGCCUUCAAAACUGGGUAAGAUUCAAAUCACUCUAUACUUUAAAAAGAAAAUAAACCCACCAAGAAAAAAAAAAUUGCAGGUUUCGUUAGAAAAAAUGCUAUGGAUUUAGAUAUGAGGAGGGUUUUAACCUUAGAUUCAGGAAAUUAACGAAAACCCAACAAACACCACCAAAAACCUUUGAAAAUAAGAAAAAGGGACUAAAAAUAUACAGUAAAGGCUUAAAUUUUGGGCCUGAAACAGAUUGACAAGGUUGGAAACUGGUGAUGGGUACUUGUAAAAGAAGGAGAAGUGGUGAUGAGAAGAUAAGGAGGUGCAGAAGAAGUGAAAUUUGCAAGAGGUGGAAGUGGAAAGUGCAGAUGAAACGGUACACGGUAUUGUACAUUAUAUAAGAAAUGGCAAAACCAGGGGCCAAUUGACAGGAAUAGCUUUGGGUUUGAAACUAAGAAAACAACCUCUAAAAGGAACAGAGAAGAAAUA